rnacentral:rRNA from 1 species
AGUGAACGCUGGCGGUAGGCCUAACACAUGCAAGUCGAACGGCAGCACAGAGGAGCUUGCUCCUUGGGUGGCGAGUGGCGGACGGGUGAGGAACACAUCGGAAUCUACUCUGUCGUGGGGGAUAACGUAGGGAAACUUACGCUAAUACCGCAUACGACCUACGGGUGAAAGCAGGGGAUCUUCGGACCUUGCGCGAUUGAAUGAGCCGAUGUCGGAUUAGCUAGUUGGCGGGGUAAAGGCCCACCAAGGCGACGAUCCGUAGCUGGUCUGAGAGGAUGAUCGGCCACACUGGAGCUGAGACACGGUCCAGACUCCUACGGGAGGCAGCAGUGGGGAAUAUUGGACAAUGGGCGCAAGCCUGAUCCAGCCAUACCGCGUGGGUGAAGAAGGCCUUCGGGUUGUAAAGCCCUUUUGUUGGGAAAGAAAUCCAUCUGGUUAAUACCCGGGUGGGAUGACGGUACCCAAAGAAUAAGCACCGGCUAACUUCGUGCCAGCCGCCGCAGUAA